rnacentral:snRNA from 1 species
AUCUCUUCUCGGCUUUUUGGCUAAGACCAAGUGUAGUAUCUGUUCUUAGCAGUUUAAUAACGCGCAGGACCUACAGUGCAGGUGAAUGUGCUGGGGAAGCAGGCCCCUCCACUGGAAUCUGGAGACCUGGGCUUCAGCACCCACU